rnacentral:lncRNA from 1 species
AAGCCGUUUAGUAUUAAUUGAUUUUUUUUUCCAUUUUUUUCUUUCUUUCCCUGGGCGGGUCAAUAGCUGGAUGCUUCAGGAGCAGAGGAUCUAUCAACUGCAGACCAAACAUAGGGAGACGCAGGCAGACCUGGAACAGAAACCCAGCCAGCUCCAGCCGCUCCGAAGAAUACGUGGUGGCCACAGUCGGCAGCAGGAAGCAUGAGGCAGGAAAUGACCCAAUCCUUGAGGGCUGGUAAAGAAAACAAAGACCCAGCUGGGAGAGACUAAAAUGGAUGCACCUACUUUCAAGCCCAAGCCUUCAGAGAGAUCAAGAAAAGAAGUGGCAACCCUGGGAAACAAAAAAGGAUUUGUCGCAUUAGAGGAAAUAAAAUUUAGCACAAUGUUAGAAUGUUCCUCUCGGCAUUUACAACUCAAGCACCUGCUAUUGGUCUCCACCAUUAGGAGACUGAUCAUCCUUGCAGGGCAAGUAGUCUGCUUUCCAUUCACCACUGCAAUCAGAGUAUGGAAAAGCCAAGUGUUUGGAUGUGGCCCUUUGGCUUAA